rnacentral:misc_RNA from 1 species
AACGCACGAGACCUGCGGACCUGCGGAGGGAUCAUUAUCGAGUGCGACCCCCCCGUAAAAAAGGGGGGUACCUCCCGUCCUUUGCUAAGCUCCCCCUCUAAACUUUUUUUAAAGGGGGGCUUUUCAAACCUUCUGCUUCGGCGGGGUUAUCCCCGCCGGAACAACCUUAAAAAUUCUCGUUCAACUGUUCCGUCCGAGAAAAGCGAAAAAAAAAAAACUUUCAACAACGGAUCUCUAGAU